UACGUAGGUGGCGAGCGUUAUCCGGAAUGAUUGGGCGUAAAGGGUGCGCAGGCGGUCCUGCAAGUCUGGAGUGAAACGCAUGAGCUCAACUCAUGCAUGGCUUUGGAAACUGGAGGACUGGAGAGCAGGAGAGGGCGGUGGAACUCCAUGUGUAGCGGUAAAAUGCGUAGAUAUAUGGAAGAACACCAGUGGCGAAGGCGGCCGCCUGGCCUGUUGCUGACGCUGAGGCACGAAAGCGUGGGGAGCAA
rnacentral:rRNA from 1 species